rnacentral:rRNA from 1 species
GACGAACGCUGGCGGCGUGCUUAACACAUGCAAGUCGAACGAUGAAGCCGGAGCUUGCUCCGGUGGAUUAGUGGCGAACGGGUGAGUAACACGUGAGCAAUCUGCCCUUGACUCUGGGAUAACUGCGGGAAACUGUAGCUAAUACCGGAUACGACACCUUGGGGCAUCCCAGGGUGUGGAAAGAAUUUCGGUCAAGGAUGAGCUCGCGGCCUAUCAGCUAGUUGGUGAGGUAAUGGCUCACCAAGGCGACGACGGGUAGCCGGCCUGAGAGGGGGACCGGCCACACUGGAACUGAGCAACGGUCAAGACUCCUACGGGAGGCAGCAGGGGGGAAUAUUGCACAAUGGGCGAAAGCCUGAUGCAGCAACGCCGCGUGAGGGAUGAAGGCCUUCGGGUUGUAAACCUCUUUUAGCAGGGAAGAAGCGAAAGUGACGGUACCCGCAGAAAAAGCACCGGCUAACUACGUGCCAGCCGCCGCCGUAA